rnacentral:rRNA from 1 species
AUGAACGCUGGCGGCGUGCCUCAUACAUGCCAGUCGAGCGAACGGACGAGAAGCUUGCUUCUCUGAUGUUAGCGGCGGACGGGUGAGUAACACGUGGAUAACCUACCUAUAAGACUGGGAUAACUUCGGGAAACCGGAGCUAAUACCGGAUAAUAUUUUGAACCGCAUGGUUCAAAAGUGAAAGACGGUCUUGCUGUCACUUAUAGAUGGAUCCGCGCUGCAUUAGCUAGUUGGUAAGGUAACGGCUUACCAAGGCAACGAUGCAUAGCCGACCUGAGAGGGUGACCGGCCACCCUGGAACUGAGACCCGGUCCAGAAUCCUACGGGAGGCAGCAGUAGGGAAUCUUCCGCAAUGGGCGACAGCCUGACGGAGCAACGCCGCGUGAGUGAUGAAGGUCUUCGGAUCGUAAAACUCUGUUAUUAGGGAAGAACAUAUGUGUAAGUAACUGUGCACAUCUUGACGGUACCUAAUCAGAAAGCCACGGCUAACUACGUG